UACGAAGGGGGCUAGCGUUGUUCGGAAUUACUGGGCGUAAAGCGCGUGUAGGCGGGUCUUUAAGUCAGGGGUGAAAUGCCAAGGCUCAACCUUGGAACUGCCUUUGAUACUGGAGACCUUGAGUCCGGGAGAGGUGAGUGGAAUUGCGAGUGUAGAGGUGAAAUUCGUAGAUAUUCGCAAGAACACCAGUGGCGAAGGCGGCUCACUGGCCCGGAACUGACGCUGAGACGCGAAAGCGUGGGGAGCCAAAC
rnacentral:rRNA from 1 species